GGAUCCAGACUUUGAUUCUGGCUCAGGAUGAACGCUAGCGGCAGGCUUAACACAUGCAAGUCGAGGGGCAGCGCGGGGCAGCAAUGUUCUGGCGGCGACCGGCGGAAGGGUGCGUAACGCGUGAGCGACAUGCCCGUUGCCCGGGGACAACCGGUGGAAACGCCGACUAAUCCCCGAUGGGACGGAGGCCCUCAUGGGUCUCCGUUGAAAGUUACGGCGGCGACGGAUUGGCUCGCGUCCGAUUAGCUUGUUGGCGGGGUAACGGCCCACCAAGGCUACGAUCGGUAGGGGUUCUGAGAGGAAGGUCCCCCACAAUGGAACUGAGACACGGUCCAUACUCCUACGGGAGGCAGCAGUGAGGAAUAUUGGUCAAUGGGCGGAAGCCUGAACCAGCCAUGCCGCGUGCGGGAAGGAGGCCCUAUGGGCUGUGAACCGCUUUUGCCUGGGGGCAAUAAGGGCGUCGUGCACGUCCGAUGAGAGUACCAGGCGAAUAAGCAUCGGCUAACUCCGUGCCAGCAGCCGCGGUAAUACGGGGGAUGCGAGCGUUAUCCGGAUUCAUUGGGUUUAAAGGGUGCGUAGGCUGUGCGUCAAGUCAGGGGUGAAAUUCCGGGGCUCAACUCCGGGGCUGCCCUUGAUACUGUCGCGCUGGAGUGCGGAUGCCGCCGGAGGAAUGAGUGGUGUAGCGGUGAAAUGCUUAGAUAUCACUCAGAACACCGAUUGCGAAGGCAUCUGGCGAAUCCGUAACUGACGCUGAGGCACGAAAGCGUGGGGAUAGAACAGGAUUAGAUACCCUGGUAUUCCACGCCGUAAACGAUGAUGGCUAACCGCCGGCGACACACUGUCGGUGGCCAA
rnacentral:rRNA from 1 species